CCAGCCAUCUUUCCUUAUCACUUUUCCAGCCAGCUUUGUGACUCUAAGUGUUGGACGGAGAACUGAUAAGGGUAGGUGAUUGG
rnacentral:pre_miRNA from 1 species